rnacentral:rRNA from 1 species
UACGAAGGGGGCGAGCGUUGUUCGGAAUUACUGGGCGUAAAGGGCGCGUAGGCGGCCGAUCAAGUUAGAUGUGAAAGUCCUGGGCUUAACCUGGGGACUGCAUUUGAUACUGAUUGGCUUGAAUUCGGGAGAGGAUAGCGGAAUUCCCAGUGUAGAGGUGAAAUUCGUAGAUAUUGGGAAGAACACCGGUGGCGAAGGCGGCUAUCUGGACCGACAUUGACGCUGAGGCGCGAAAGCGUGGGGAGCAAACAGGG